rnacentral:rRNA from 1 species
GGCGAACGGGUGCGUAACACGUGGGCAAUCUGCCGAAAAGUGGGGGAUAGCUCGCCGAAAGGCGAAUUAAUACCGCAUGUGGUCAGGGGGGACAUCCCUCCAACACUAAAGCCGGGGCAACCUGGCGCUUUUUGAUGAGCCCGCGGCCUAUCAGCUUGUUGGUGAGGUAACGGCUCACCAAGGCUAUGACGGGUAGCUGGUCUGAGAGGACGACCAGCCACACUGGAACUGAGACACGGUCCAGACACCUACGGGUGGCAGCAGUCGAGAAUUUUUCUCAAUGGGGGAAACCCUGAAGGAGCGACGCCGCGUGGAGGAUGAAGGUUUUCGGAUUGUAAACUCCUGUCAUUGGGGAACAAUUGUGCAGAUUUAACUGAUUUGCACUUGAUAGUACCCGAAGAGGAAGAGACGGCUAACUCUGUGCCAGCAGCCGCGGUAAUACAGAGGUCUCAAGCGUUGUUCGGAUUCAUUGGGCGUAAAGGGUGCGUAGGCGGUAAUGUAAGUUGGAUGUGAAAUCCCGGGGCUUAACCCCGGAACUGCAUUCAAUACUGCAAUACUAGAGUACUGGAGAGGAGAUUGGAAUUCACGGUGUAGCAGUGAAAUGCGUAGAUAUCGUGAGGAAGGCCAGUGGCGAAGGCGAAUCUCUGGACAGUUACUGACGCUGAGGCACGAAGGCUAGGGGAGCAAACGGGAUUAGAUACCCCGGUAGUCCUAGCAGUAAACGGUGCACGUUUGGUAUGGGAGGAUUCGACCCCUUCCGUGCC